rnacentral:lncRNA from 1 species
GCCAAAACCGUCAAGCAUGGGGUGAGAGUUCCCCGCAGCCUUUCCUUUCUUGGCUUGACUUUUCACUGGAAAGAGCUUCUGGGGUCAGAGCAGUGGGGUGGCUGAGGGAAGGGAAGGUGGUAGUGCUCCUGUGACACUGUUUCUCCUCUUCCCUUUCCAGGCAGGGGCGGAGAUCUCCACUGUCCAUCCUGAGCAGUACGCUAAGCGAUUCCUGGAUUUUAUUUCCAACAUCUUUGCCUAAGUGGCCGCCUGACCGGGGUGAUCGCUGCUUUAUGUUGGAGGUGGCAGGUUCUGAGAGGCUUAGGGGAGCUGGAUUUGGCCAUUACUUCUCUUUGCUAAAUUCAGGCUACAGGCUCCUUCCAUCCAAAUACCUUUGUUCUGGCGGAUAAUGUUUUCCUGUCCCAGAACUACACUGUCCUUUCUCCCCUCAUCCAUCUCUCUGCCCUCCCUCCUUGCUCCCAGUAAGCCCGCCUGCUUCAUUAGAGUGUUAUUGUCAACUCUCCUAAGUGCCUUGAUCUUUGAAAAAUACCUUGUUUCUGUGAAUUAGGAGGAGCUGGGGGCAGGGGCUGUUUGCCAUCUUCAGGGCCUGACUGGACGGUGGAUAUGGCGCACGCAACUGCCCUGGUGCACUUUGCAGUAGUAUGGAAGGAACUAAAUGUGUGGGUUCUGCUGACACCUUUCUGGGGCACUUUGUGGCAUGCAUUGCUUCCUUCCUGGUAAGCCCUGGAACGGAGGGCUUUCAGGACACUCCAGUGUGGGUGCAGGCAUUCACGUAGGGACAGUCUGGCCUGGAGGUCAGGGGAAUGCUCAGCAGGCUGGUACCUACCUCACAAGGCAGGACCUAAGUGGACUUUUGCGAUUAUGCAGAGGAUGGAGAAGGUCCUUGUCAAGCAUUGGCUGUUCCCAUUCUCCUUCCCCACCCUACUUUCACCUCUUCCCAUGAGUCCUGGGUGCCAGAGCCUUGAGGCCAGAGGUGCCCAAGCUUAGGUGCAGGGAGAGCAUAGAGGCUGGGAGGACAGGUCGGAGUGCAGGGUUCAUUCCCUGUGUGACACCCUUUCUUCCCGUCUACUUACUCCCAG